UCCAUGCGAAAAGGACAGAAUGCCCUAACUCUUCUUCUUGUUCUCUUGUUUUCUCUUCACUCUCCCACUAAAUAUUGCCUACCCAUCACCUAAAAUCAUGAUUUCUUCCACAAAACUUGAUUUCUUCACCACCCUUCCAUAAAAUUUCAGUGGUUUUCCUCAACCCAACGAAAAAUUGGGAUUUUCGGCAUCUUUGGAGUUUUUUUUUUUCAAACUAAGAUAAAAUCUCUUGUUUUCUUGAUUCUCUCUUGAUCUUUGCUUGAAAUUUUCUAGAUUUAGGUUAAUUUUCUCUGAUUCAUUGAUCUGUGCUUCAUUUGUAAAUUUGUGGAGAAAUGGAAAUUCAAGUGUUGUAGUUUGGAUUGAAUUGUUGAAUUUUUGUUGUGGUUUUUAUUAUUGCAGGUUGGGGGUGGGUAGUUUAGGAGAAUUUUUUUAGAGUUUUAGGUUGAAUUUUUCGCUUAGCUUUUAUUCGAGUUGCCCAAAGUUGUGCAAUUAGCAUAAAAUUUUGAUGUCACCCGAAAGAAAUAGGAGUAAAAAUGUAGCUAGUACCUCUGAUAAUCGGCCCUAGUACAACCAAAGUAGAUUUCCUCCUUUAGGUGCAUUUGAGCACUUCCGUAGGAUAAUAGCAACCAAAAUCCUUAUUCCUUAGAGUCUUAUCGUUAGGGGAGGACUAUUACCCUCACAUUACCGUCGAGAUUGAGAGGCGAGAUUGGGAGGAGUUAGCUAGUCACCCCGCAGUUAGGAUAGAUCUAAUUGUUAGGGAAUUUUAUACUAACAUAUAAGAGGACAGGGAUGUCUCUGUUGUUAAAAGGGAUACCGGUUUCUUUUUCUUCUUCUCGCAUAAACAAUGUUUACGAAGUGGCUGAUAUAAAGGAUGACGAGUAUUCUCAUUUUUUGCCUUGGCCCUUCGAUAAAUGCCUAGUUGUUGAGGUCCUCUGUGGACAAGGGAUCAACUAGGAAAGGACGAAUGGUGAGCCGGUCAAGCUUAGGAGUCGGGACCUACUGGUCUCGAACCAAAUCUGGCACGCGUCUAUAUGCACCAAAUUAAUGGAUGUGACCUAAGAUAAGGUGAAAUUGCUUUACUGCAUCUGUACUGUUUAUCUUUUAACGUCGGUAAGGUCAUUUUUGCCCAAAUCUGAUGAGGAGACUGUUACAAUACCACUGGUGGCAUGGGUUUCUCUUGCCUUAUCACUGAGCUUUAUCGAUGGUCGGAUGUAGAGAUCAGAGAGCAAAAUGAGAGGGCGGUUCAUAAGGCUCCGAUUAACAUGACCACCAUCCCAACAUUUAAAGGUCGUGUAGAUGCGGUAGAAAGAGAAGAGGAAGUUAAGGCCAAUUAGCUAGGGGACAAUCUAGGGGGAGGAGAAAGAGUGGCUGAAGAGGCAACCGAGGAGAAGUCGGUGAGUUUAUGCGCCCUCAGGAUCUCUGAAGAGUGUCUGAGGGAGGUGCGCAACCCUGCGAGAGUAGUACGGUGUAUGGAGAGAUGGAUGACCUCUAUGGAGGAACACCAACUUCUCUACUUCGCUGCCAUGGGCUUUCAGCCAGAUGUCCCGCAAAAGCCUAACUCAUCAGACUCGGAUGGUUUUCUCUUUUUAUUUUUAUCCUUGCAUUGCCCAAGCAACCCACCCCUCAUGGACUUCAAAUAAGGGAAGGUUUUCUGUUUCCCUUUUUAUUUUGUCCUUCUUCGCUUGCUUACAUGCAUUAGGGACAAUGCAUCAUUUUAGGUUGAGGGUAGGUGAGUUGCAUGUUGCUUGUUUUAUUUGUCUCUCGUAUGUGUAUUUUGUAUGUCCUGUUUUUGUGCACAAAAUUUUACAAAAUGUUUUUGUAUUUUUGUUUGAUUAAAAUGGCCUAGGAUGUGCUUGUAUGCUUCUUUACUUGAUUAUGUGAAAUGAGCAUUAAAUGAGUCCUGUUUAAAAUUUUUCUUGCAUUCCUUGCCUCCUAGUGCACAAACUACCUUAGUUUUUUCUCUUAGGACUUAGAAUGGGUUUAUGUGUCUAUAAGUCUGUUGUCGCCCCGAAAGGCCCCAUCAACGAGAGAUUCACCUAGAUAGAUAGGAUGUAAUAUGAGAUUAAGGAGAAUAAAAGAGUGUUAGCCUAUGGGGAAAAUAAAAAAGUGUUUAAAAAAAGCAAAAAGAAAAAGAAAAAGAAAAGAGAAAGAAAAGUAAGAAAAAGUGUUGUGUGAGUGCAUGCUAGGGGUGAAAAGAGCUAACUCUACCGAGAUAAGUUAGGACCCCCUGAGAAAAGAGUGGAUUAAGUUCUUACGGUUGGUUGUGUGAAAACUAGCCCUCUAGGUAAAAGAAAUGCUUUUUAUGUUUUGUGUGCAUGAGUUUCAGGCACCUUAGCCGAAGUCUUACUUUCUUGAAUAGUUUUGGUUUUUCAAAAGCUGGUGCUCAAGCUAGAAAUAGGGAAAAGAUGGAUGGAAGAUUCCAUAAGGUUGUCCCGAGUCUAUACAGUCCACCUAGGUUGGUUAUUUCACACACACACGCGAGAAAUAAUAGAGAAAGUUCUAAAUUGUUCAUUGACUUGUAAGUUUCAUGUUUUUAAGUUUUGAAGCAUAUUUUAGGUUUGAUGCCCAAGUUAAACUAAAAUGCAAAACCUUUUUUUUGUUGUUGUUGUUUGUUUUGUGCUUGUGCGUUUUCUCUUGCUUGAGGACUAGCAAGGUUUAGGUUGGGGGUGUUUGAUAGCUCUCCAAAGGAGCUAUUUAUUCUCACAUAAAUCAUGUUGGUUCUUAGGUAUUUAAUACUUUAUUUAGUGCUUUUGACAGAUAAAUGAGCAGACCAUCAGGACGUUUUGGGUGCAUUAUGGGCCAAAACGGAGCAAGUAGCUGCAAAAGAGGGAAAAUUAUAGUUUUUCCCUUUGAGGGAGUGCCACUGCUCUAGCUAUGUGCUAUGUGCGGCGUUGGAAGGCAGUAGCAUGGCUUGGUGAGAGCGUAGCGGUGCUACAAACUUUGACAGAAAAAAAAGAGGCGCACGCAGAUGGAUCAAUCGAAAGGGGUAAUGGCACUAUGCGCAACGCUCAACGGCAGAAGGCCAGAACACAGUUGCGCUCUACUGAACCGUUGUGGCAUUACCCCAACUUCUUCUAUAAAUACACCCUCCUAUUUAAGGUUUUAGAUAUGCAGAGAGAUGGAGAAAAGGGAGACCGUUAGCCUGACUUAUUUUUCAUUAUUCUUGCAUCUUAUUUUAGGUGAGAUUUUACAAAUUUUGGGUUGUAUUCCAUGGCUCGAAUCGACUUGUUUCUUUUUCCUUUUUCAAUGAGGUGAGUUUCUCGGUUCUAGGUCUUGGGAUGUUAACCUAUGUAAUAACUAUGAGGAUUCUUUGUAUUAAUUUCAUAUCGUACUUAUGCAUCUUUGAAUUCAUUUUAA